rnacentral:tRNA from 1 species
GCGGAAAUAGCGCAAUGGUAGCGCGUCACCUUGCCAAGGUGGAUGUUGCGGGUUCGAAUCCCGUUUUCCGCU